rnacentral:lncRNA from 1 species
CAGAGAUAGUGAGGAGCUUCGUCGAAAUGAGAGAGGAGGAGUCCAUUUCAUCUCUUGGAGAGUUUCAUCUAUUAUUUUUAAGUACCAAUCCUCCCUCACUCUCUCCUUUUCAACCUUAGGGUAGCUCUUCUUUUCUUUUUGAGUCUUCUUGUUUUUUCUUUGUACUUUUCUUUCGAGAAACAUGUCCCACAGAAUCAAGAAGGAAAACAAGACC